rnacentral:rRNA from 1 species
CGGCGGACGGGUGAGUAACGCGUGGGUAACCUACCCUGUACACACGGAUAACAUACCGAAAGGUAUGCUAAUACGGGAUAAUAUAUUUGAGAGGCAUCUCUUAAAUAUCAAAGGUGAGCCAGUACAGGAUGGACCCGCGUCUGAUUAGCUAGUUGGUAAGGUAACGGCUUACCAAGGCGACGAUCAGUAGCCGACCUGAGAGGGUGAUCGGCCACACUGGGACUGAGACACGGCCCAG